AAGUCCCGCAACGAGCGCAACCCUUGUCCUUACUUGCCAGCACUUCGGGUGGGAACUGUAAGGAGACUGCCGGUGACAAACCGGAGGAAGGUGGGGACGACGUCAAGUCAUCAUGACCCUUACGAGUAGGGCUACACACGUGCUACAAUGGCCGGUACAGACGGUUGCGAAGCAGCAAUGUGGAGCUAAUCUGAGAAAACCGGUCGUAGUCCGGAUUGGGGUCUGCAACUCGACCCCAUGAAGUCGGAAUCGCUAGUAAUCGCAGGUCAGAAUACUGCGGUGAAUACGUUCCCGGGCCUU
rnacentral:rRNA from 1 species